GACGAACGCUGGCGGCGUGCUUAACACAUGCAAGUCGAACGGAGAAGCGCCUUCCUUUUUGGUGGGUGUGGUUGCGAGGGGGAGGGGAGCAUAACACGAGCGUGCCCUGGACCCUUGGACAGGAUAACGGCACGAGAGCGAGGACCAUAUGGGAUAUUCUGGGUCUGUGGGGUGGUGGGACUGGGUCGGAGGUUGUGGAGGUGGGGGCUGGGCUUGCGGCUUAUCAGCUUGUUGGGGGGGUAGUGGGCUAUGAAGGGUUGGGCGGGUAGCCGGCCUGAGAGGGUGAGCGGCACCAUUGGGACUGAGAUACGGCGCAGACUCCUACGGGAGGCAGCAGUGGGGAAUAUUGCACAAUGGGCGGAAGCCUGAUGCAGCAACGCCGCGUGCGGGAUGACGGCCUUCGGGUUGUAAACCGCUUUCGCCUGUGACGAAGCGUGAGUGACGGUAAUGGGUAAAGAAGCACCGGCUAACUACGUG
rnacentral:rRNA from 1 species